GACGAACGCUGGCGGCGUGCUUAACACAUGCAAGUCGAGCGAUGAAGCGCCUUCGGGUGUGAAUUAGCGGCGAACGGGUGAGGAACACGUGAGAAAUCUGCCUUCAACUCUGGGAUAACUCCGUGAAAACGGGGCUAAUACCGGAUAUGAAACCUGCGGGCAUCCGCGGGUUUGGAAAGUUUUUCGGUUGAAGAUGAUCUCGCGGCCUAUCAGCUUGUUGGUGAGGUAAUGGCUCACCAAGGCGACGACGGGUAGCCGGCCUGAGAGGGCGACCGGCCACACUGGGACUGAGACACGGCCCAGACUCCUACGGGAGGCAGCAGUGGGGAAUAUUGGGCAAUGGAGGAAACUCUGACCCAGCGACGCCGCGUGCGGGAUGAAGGCCUUCGGGUUGUAAACCGCUUUCAGCAGGGAAGAAGCGAAAGUGACGGUACCUGCAGAAGAAGCACCCGCUAACUAUGUGCCAGCAGCCGCCGUAA
rnacentral:rRNA from 1 species